UGGGGGAAUGGCUCACCAGGCUGCAUCCCUACUGGCUGAAGGAUGAUCUACCACACUGGAACUGAGACACGGUCCAGACUCCUACGGGAGGCAGCAGUGGGGAAUAUUGCACAAUGGGGGAAACCCUGAUGCAGCCAUGCCGCGUGUGUGAAGAAGGCCUUCGGGUUGUAAAGCACUUUCAGCGAGGAGGAAAGGUUGAUGCCUAAUACGCAUCAGCUGUGACGUUACUCGCAGAAGAAGCACCGGCUAACUCCGUGCCAGCAGCCGCGGUAAUACGGAGGGUGCAAGCGUUAAUCGGAAUUACUGGGCGUAAAGCGCACGCAGGCGGUUGGAUAAGUUAGAUGUGAAAGCCCGGGCUCAACCUGGGAAUUGCAUUUAAAACUGUCCAGCUAGAGUCUUGUAGAGGGGGGUAGAAUUCCAGGUGUAGCGGUGAAAUGCGUAGAGAUCUGGAGGAAUACCGGUGGCGAAGGCGGCCCCCUGGACAAAGACUGACGCUCAGGUGCGAAAGCGUGGGGGAGCAAACAGGAUUAGAUACCCUGGUAGUCCACGCCGUAAACGAUGUCGAUUUGGAGGCUGUGUCCUUGAGACGUGGCUUCCGGAGCUAACGCGUUAAAUCGACCGCCUGGGGAGUACGGCCGCAAGGU
rnacentral:rRNA from 1 species